rnacentral:rRNA from 1 species
GAGUUUGAUCGUGGCUCAGAUUGAACGCUGGCGGCAUGCCUAACACAGUGGCAAGUCGAACGGCAGCGCGGGGGCAACCCUGGCGGCGAGUGGCGGACGGGUGAGGAACACAUAGGAAUCUACCUUGACGUGGGGGGAUAACGUAGGGGAAACUUACGCUAAUACCGCAUACGACCUCAGGGUGAAAGCGGCGGACCGCAAGGCGUCGCGCGGUGAGAUGAGCCUAUGUCCGAUUAGCUAGUUGGCGGGGUAAGGGCCCACCAAGGCGACGAUCGGUAGCUGGUCUGAGAGGAUGAUCAGCCACACUGGGACUGAGACACGGCCCAGACUCCUACGGGAGGCAGCAGUGGGGAAUAUUGGACAAUGGGCGCAAGCCUGAUCCAGCAAUGCCGCGUGGGUGAAGAAGGCCU